GAUGAACGCUGGCGGCGUGCCUAAUACAUGCAAGUCGAGCGAACAGACGAGGAGCUUGCUUCUCUGACGUUAGCGGCGGACGGGUGAGUAACACGUGGAUAACCUACCUAUAAGACUGGGAUAACUUCGGGAAACCGGAGCUAAUACCGGAUGAUAUAUUGAACCGCAUGGUUCAAUAGUGAAAGACGGUUUUGCUGUCACUUAUAGAUGGAUCCGCGCCGCAUUAGCUAGUUGGUAAGGUAACGGCUUACCAAGGCAACGAUGCAUAGCCGACCUGAGAGGGUGAUCGGCCACACUGGAACUGAGACACGGUCCAGACUCCUACGGGAGGCAGCAGUAGGGAAUCUUCCGCAAUGGGCGAAAGCCUGACGGAGCAACGCCGCGUGAGUGAUGAAGGUCUUCGGAUCGUAAAACUCUGUUAUUAGGGAAGAACAAAUGUGUAAGUAACUAUGCACGUCUUGACGGUACCUAAUCAGAAAGCCACGGCUAACUACGUG
rnacentral:rRNA from 1 species